CGUAGGUAACCUGCCCAUGUGCCCGGGAUAACUUCUGGAAACGGAUGCUAAAACCGGAUAGGUAGCAGACAAGCAUUUGACUGCUAUUAAAGUGGCUAAGGCCAUGAACAUGGAUGGACCUGCGGUGCAUUAGCUAGUUGGUGAGGUAACGGCCCACCAAGGCGACGAUGCAUAGCCGGCCUGAGAGGGCGGACGGCCACAUUGGGACUGAGACACGGCCCAAACUCCUACGGGAGGCAGCAUG
rnacentral:rRNA from 1 species